AUGGACAGAAAGUCUGAAUGUGUAAGAGCAGCUCAAAACAACAACCACCCAAACAAGACAGCCAUUCUCGCUCCUCUCAGACCACUGCUCCGAGAGGCUUGCUCUCCGACGGGUCCUACAUGCUAAAUAACUCCUAUUCUUAGUUCACGUUGACUUGGUGGCUCGAGCCAGGUGAAAAGACAAUUGACCCAAACAGCCAAACCGAACUCGAAACUUCACUAACGAGGCAGCUUAUUUUCUAAUCCCAGUCAGCAUUGUAGGGCACCGAGCGACUUCUUGGCAGAUACUGCAUCUUCAGCCAGGAGAAGUUGGCUUAGUACAAAAGGGCUUUUGAAGCGGAAACUACAAGAAGAUGCAUCUGUCUUAACAAAAAAUAAUAAACCAAGAAAAUAAAAGAUAUGGGAUCCUAGAAAUAAAAGGUGCAACACAAGAGAGAGAUAAAGAAAAACAUUGACAGCCUCUCUAUGAAGAAAGACCCAAAGUAACAACUUUGCAACAGCUCUAGGGAAUAAUUUGUUCAGAUAAGAGUAACUCAGGAGACUCCAAGAGCGAUUUUCGAGAAGAUUAAAUCUAUAGAAUACCUAAUAUGUUUGCACUUGUAAAGAAGAGUUUUAUACUACUUGGAGAGAAUUUAGCAGUUCAUCUAUCAGUAUCAUUUGCAUAGAUAUAAUGUUCGCUAAAUAUUUCUAUAGCCUAAGGAAGAUGGUGAAUGAGAAGUGUGCUUAUGUGUGGCAAGGAAGAAGGGGAUUUACCAAGUGGGAAGUCCAUGGUCAAAUGCUUAAGACUUAGUAAGGCAUUUACCAAGUGGGAAGUCAAUGGGCAAAUGCUUAAGACGUAGUAAUCAGAAUGCAAAUACAUAAGUACAUGUAGAGGCAAAACAUAGCAUUGUAGUUAUGUGCGCAGAUGCUGGAGUGAGACUCUCUGGGUUCAAAUCCCAGCCCUACCAAUUACUAGUCAUGUGACUUUGGGCAAAUUGUUGACCUAUUUGAAACUCAGUUUUCUCGUAUGAAAACUGUGAUUAUAAUUACUCAUCUCAUAAGAUUUUUAUAUGAACUAACUUUCUAAAAUACUUAGAAUAGUACUUGUCACAAAGCCAGCAGUAUAAAAGUGUUGACCAUUAAAAUAAUGUCAUUAGAAACAUGGAGAUAAAUAUUAAAAGAAUAAGCUAAAACAGAAAUUGGUUGUGACAGGAGGAGAAUGAUGCACUGGGAAUAUUAUUGCUUUUCAUAACUUGGAGAAAUUUGAUUUUUUAAAGUUUGUGUUCACAUAUAAUUAAAAAAAUAGAAAACUAAAUUUUAAGUGACAAGAAUUAUAUUCUUCCAUUUAGUCAGGUGCUGGAUAAAGUAGCUUUUUUUUAGGUGUCUGCAAAUAUUAUGACAAUUAGGACAAGAAAAGUGCAUGCUAUUUUCAACCAGUUUGUAUUAAUGAUGAUCCUUAGAUGUAAGCAACAGAAGUUGAUGAAGCUGAUUUAAAUACAAUGGUUUAGUUGAAAAGAUGUUGGGGAGAUCACAGAAUGAAUUGCAAUGCUGGAGAACCAGUUAUGAAAACAUACAAGCAUGAAGGGAGGCUGCAUAGCCAUAACUAUGUCCUGAAUCACACCAAAUACCAUCAGGUGAGGAUUUCACAUCUAUCGCCAUUGGACUCGCCAUACCGUAAUUUAUACAUUUACUGACCUGGCCGCCCCAACUCUUCCUGGAAAUCAGAUGCUGCUGCCACCACAGCCAUAUCAGAAAGAAGCCUCCUCUCGUGUUGUUUUAUGUCACUAGUCCCACUUCAAGUCAUAGCCAAGUGCAUAAAUUGAUCAGGGAGGCUGGGAAGACAAACUACUUGGUGUAUAUAUAAUGUCUGUGGUAGGAGGCCAACUCUACCGCCGUCCCAGAGCCAUAAGAUAGGUAAUUUUCCAAUUACAGACUAGAUGGAAUAGACUAUAUUCUUAUAUUAAUUGCUUCUUCAUAGAAGUACAUUUAUUUACCAUCAUUGAUUCAAGUUAGCAAUAUGACUAACUUUGGCCAAUUAAAUAUAAGUAACAGUCAUUCUUCACUUCAGGACAGAAAUACUAAGAACCAGGAUAUGGUUCUCCCAAUCUACUAUUCCCUGCCAGGCAAAUCUGAAGGCAUGUUGAAAGGAUGCUUCUGUCAGCCUGAGUCCCUAAAUGACUAUGAUAAGCAAAGCUUCCUUGCCAACUUGUGAUGGACAUGUAUUAUGAGCAAGAAAUAAAUGUGAUUGUUUAAAGCCACAGAAA
ensembl:lncRNA novel transcript